CACUCCUGCGGGAGGCAGCAGUGGGGAAUAUUGGACAAUGGGCGCAAGCCUGAUCCAGCCCUGCCGCGUGAGUGAUGAAGGCCCUAGGGUUGUAAAGCUCUUUCACCGGUGAAGAUAAUGACGGUAACCGGAGAAGAAGCCCCGGCUAACUUCGUGCCAGCAGCCGCGGUAAUACGAAGGGGGCUAGCGUUGGUCGGAUUUACUGGGCGUAAAGCGCACGUAGGCGGACUAUUAAGUCAGGGGUGAAAUCCCGGGGCUCAACCCCGGAACUGCCUUUGAUACUGGUAGUCUUGAGUUCGAGAGAGGUGAGUGGAAUUCCGAGUGUAGAGGUGAAAUUCGUAGAUAUUCGGAGGAACACCAGUGGCGAAGGCGGCUCACUGGCUCGAUACUGACGCUGAGGUGCGAAAGCGUGGGGAGCAAACAGGAUGAGAAACCCCAGUAGGCCCAUGA
rnacentral:rRNA from 1 species